rnacentral:rRNA from 1 species
CCUACGGGGGGCAGCAGUGGGGAAUAUUGCACAAUGGGGGAAACCCUGAUGCAGCGACGCCGCGUGGGGGAUGACGGCCUUCGGGUUGUAAACCUCUUUCAGUAGGGAAGAAGCCCCUUGGGGUGACGGUACCUGCAGAAGAAGCACCGGCUAACUACGUGCCAGCAGCCGCGGUAAUACGUAGGGUGCGAGCGUUGUCCGGAAUUAUUGGGCGUAAAGAGCUCGUAGGUGGUCUGUUGCGCCUGCUGUGAAAACAUCCCGCUCAACGGGGUGCGUGCAGUGGGUACGGGCAGACUAGAGUGCAGUAGAGGAGUCUGGAAUUCCUGGUGUAGCGGUGGAAUGCGCAGAUAUCAGGAAGAACACCGGUGGCGAAGGCGGGACUCUGGGCUGUUACUGACGC